AAAAGCCAAAGAGACCCAAAUUAUUGUUUUAUUUUGUUUUUGUUACCUCGCUUAUAUCUAUUAUCAUGGAAAACAUAAGUGGGUUGGCUUUUGAUAUGGGAGAGCUAAGAAACAACCUUCCCAAAAAGAGAGGAUUAUCAAGGUACUAUUCAGGAAAAGCGAGAUCAUUCAUAUGUAUCUCAGAUGUAAAAUGCCUUGAGGAUCUGAAGAAACCAACCCAAACUUUUGAUGACGAUGAUGAUGAUGAGGCUUACAAGAAGAGGAAGAAGAAGAACAAGCAAUCAUCUUCAUCUUCAUUUUCUGCAGCUAUUAACAGCAAUGUGAAUUUCUCAAACUACCCUUGUCGAAGGGUCUCUAGUAGCACCCACUGUUCCUCACCUUGUGUUGCUUAGGAAAAAAGAAGCUUACACUUUCUCAAUUUAUUUAGUAGCUCCUUUGGUUUUUAUUCUCAACCCAACACUGAAAACACAAACUUCAGUUCAGUGUGUGGGGGCGUCAUUCAUAUCCAAUUUUUGAUUUUCUUUACUGUUUUUAUGUCUUUUUUUUGUGGUUAUCUUUUUUUCUUGCGCAAAUUAUGUAGAUUUGGAUGUGUUUGUUCCAAUUUGCUUAUUGGGACAAAAAUGUUGGAAAUCCUUUCGAAUGUAAUCAUACGUACGCAUAGAAUUGAAUAAUAAGUGAA
rnacentral:misc_RNA from 1 species